ensembl:lncRNA FAM86DP family with sequence similarity 86 member D, pseudogene
AUGGCGCCCGAGGAGAAUGCGGGGACCGAACUCUUGCUGCAGAGUUUCGAGCGCCGCUUCCUGGCGGCGCGCACGCUGCGCUCCUUCCCCUGGCAGGGGGGCGGCGGGCGAGCGGAGAGGCCCGCGGGGCUCGCGGGAGUCCAGGGGCAGACGGGAUGGGUCUCCGUGCUGAAACCCCCGGCGCUCCUGCCACAGCUUAGAAGCAAAGUUAAGAGACUCAUCAGAUUCUGAGCUGCUGCGGGAUAUUUUGCAGAAGACUGUGAAGCAUCCUGUGUGUGUGUGAAGCACCCGCCGUCAGUCAAGAAAGCCCGGUGCUUUCUCUCAGAACUCAUCAAAAAGGACUGUCCUAGAGCUUGGCAGUGGUGCCGGCCUCACAGGCCUGGCCAUCUGCAAGAUGUACCGCCCCCGGGCAUUCAUCUUCAGUGACUGUCACAGCCGGGUCCUCGAGCAGCUCCGAGGGAAUGUCCUUCUCAAUGGCCUCUCAUUAGAGGCAGACAUCACUGCCAACUUAGACAGCCCCAGGGUGACAGUGGCCCAGCUGGACUGGGACGUAGCGACGGUCCAUCAGCUCUCUGCCUUCCAGCCAGAUGUUGUCAUUGCAGCAGACGUGCUGUAUUGCCCAGAAGCCAUCGUGUCGCUGGUCGGGAUCCUGCGGAGGCUGGCUGCCUGCUGGGAGCACCAGCAGUCUCCUGAGGUCUACGUGGCCUUUACCGUCCACAACCCAGAGACGUGCCAGCUGUUCACCACCGAGCUAGGCCGGGCUGGGAUCAUAUGGGAAGCGGAAGCUCAUCAUGACCAGAAACUGUUUCCCUAUGGAGAGCACUUGGAGAUGGCAAUGCUGAACCUCACACUGUAGGACUCACACACGACUCCAACGGGAUUGUGAGAAUCAAGUCAAUCUCAUGGGAAGAAUUUUUAUAUGGGAAAGCGGAUAAAACUUUCAUUGUACUGGAAUGUUUGGAGAAUGUUAAAUUCCAAAUCAGAAACCACAAACUGCCCUCUAAUAAGACAUCGGCUAUCUAA